ensembl:lncRNA
ACUAAACACAACUUUAAAAUGACUUUGAACAUCUUCCCUUUUAGGUUUGUUUCAGUGAGUCUUUUUCCAAACAGAGAUGAUGAAAAUGUUGCCUUAAGAGUAUGACCUAAAUUUCACAUCAAACAAAUAUGCAAAACAACACUGCAAAACUGUCUCCGACAUGCCAGUUUCAAUGUUCCCACAACAGUUAUACUUUGGAAUUUUAUUUUAUUUUAUUUAUUUUUUAACACUCACAGACCUUAAAUAAACCUUUUUAAAGACCUUAAAUUGUUACAUAUAGUCUUUCCCCAGGGUUUAACUCAUGUGGGUCAUUCCUGUUAUGCCCUUUUAUGUCCCUGUCAAAUAUACUGCAUAAAAUAUUCCAGUAGCAUUUUUUUUUUCAAUAUGAAAGUCAUAUAGUUUUCUUGGGAAUAAACAGUUUUUGCUUGCUAGUUUCCAUCCUGUUAGUCUAUAGUAAUCUGUUAACAACAACACUAACAAAAGUAGCAAUAGUUUUCUGAUUUGUCUCCCAUUUUAUUCCAUUUUAUUGCAUGAUUAAAAUAAAACAUGUUUAGAAACCCCACAUGUAAUCUAGCCAUCAAACCCUUACUUAUCUAGAUUAAGCAUCUUAUUCAGACAUCCUAGUUAUUUUCUUAACAAUUUGUAAAGAAUCAAGCAAAAAAAAUAAAUAAAUAAUAAUAAUAAUAAUAAUAAUAAUAAUAAUAAUACUUAUUAAAAACAUCCUAAGCUGUUUGAGUUACAGGAAUUUAAGAGUCUGAACAUAUUUCUGCAAGUCUAGCACAUUUUAUAGAAAUAUUUCUUACAGUACAUUACAACAUAAAUAUUAAUUUUUAACAUACUGCAUAACAGGAAUGAUCCACCUACGUUCAGCUGACCUUUUGAGAGCUAGACAGGAUCCAUUCAAUAUCUUUCCCCUGUGCGAGCAUGUAUUCAUUUGAUACCAUAAAGUGCCUUUCAUUUUUAAAAGCCUGUAAAGCAUUAGCGCUUCAUAUAAACCGCACUGACCAGUGAUCAUUAUGUUCACCAUAAUGCAUUGUACUGCAUACUGAGAAUUUCAUAACCAAAAUGUGAACAUAACACAUAGGUUUGUAAAAAAGAGGACAUUUUUACAUUCACAAAUUAAGGGAAAAAAGAAAAGAAUAUAUAUAUAUAUAUAUAUAUAUAUAUAUAUAUAUAUAUAUAUAUAUAUAUAUAUAUAUAUAUAUACACCCACUGUAACUUCACUCAACCUCCAGCACAUUUUAUUUAACAAAAUAUAAGCAGAUCAGAUGUAGCAAAGCAUAGAAAUGUAACUCUAAGACAAACUGUUGGGAAAAUGCACCAAAUAAUAGAUAAGCCAGAAUGUGGUACAGUCUUUCACAGUGGAGCAACAAAUAAUUACCCUUCCACGCAUGACGAGAGAGAGUGAGAGAGAGAAGGAGAUGCCUUGAUGGACAGCCAGAACAGGUUUAACAGAAAUAAUAGAUCAGAAGGUCACCCUUCAAUUUCGGUCAGUUGGGGGAAGAACGAAUGUUAUUUCUUUUUUUUUUAUGUGUGUAUGUGCAGCAAGAGUCACAACACACAUUUCUCUGAAGGCUCUGAAUCUACAUUAGAGUAAAACCAUUGCAAUAUGACAGGAACCCCAUUGGGACGUUCUGCUGGAUUGCAAUUCAACCGACUUUGUUUUGUGCAACCUAAAUCAAAUUGACAGGUAAGAGAGAAAAGCAUCUUCCGGUGCCAAUAUUUUCCACACUUGUAACAAGGUAUGGCCAUAAAUAGGAUUCUGGACAGAGCUUUAUUAUUGUAUUAUUCAAUAAACUCAAAUAAUUAGGGCCAAGAAGAAUAAAAAGGUAAGCUAUAAAGUCUAGAUGGUACUCAGACUAAGGAAAUGGAUGGCUGGUUACCUUAUUUUAGCUUUUAACUGUUCUUUAUUUACAUUGUUUUUGUUUAUUAGCCAUCACAGUGACACGCUUAGGCCUAGUUAUGUUGAUAACGUGAAUGCUGGUUCCCCUACAUACCGUGAACUUCAGCUCCCAGCAUGGGUUCAAAUGCUUGAGAGGCAACAGCGACAUCUAGAGGCGGCUAUUCUAUCUACAGCUGCUGUGAUGACAUCAGUCAAAUGCACAGACAUGCCUCUGGUCUGCUUCUCCUAUAUAUAUUUACACCUUUUCAUCUGCUUUAUAGGACAUAUCGAAAAUAGCAAACAGCGUAAUAUUCCUUUCUCGUAUUUGGACAAAAUAGAUGGCUUUACAAAAGCUCACAAUACUUACAGUGAAUAAUAGGCUUUUGUGAAGGAAUACUUCAUCCCCAAAAAAUAAUAAUAACAAUUAAUAAUAAUAAUAAUAAUAAUAAUAAAUAAAAAUAAAGGCAUCUUAGUCUAUGUGCACUCUCUAGAAGGUUCAAAAUCUGCACAUUCCAAAGCCCCCUUCUAACAUCACUUUUCAGAAAAAAAAAAAAAAGAAAAUAGAAAAAAAAAGAAAUUCUCCCCUCGACAAAAAUCCUUGACACACAAGAUCACGAACCAUCGGUCAUGCUUAUCCGCAUCCCAAACAUGUCAACAGUUGGCACACUAUAAGAUAAACACAUUUUACAUUCAUAAAGGAGAUGACUGGGCAGCUACAGAAGAAAUCUGCACUCAAAAAAAAAAAAAAAAAAUUAUAAAUUAUCCCCAUAUCAAACAAUUAACAAUCAACUGAUAAAACGUAAAGUACAUGCAUUUACAACUCUUUAUCUCCACCUUUUGGCCUGUCCACCUUCAAGAAAGAGAAAUCAAACAGCAAAUACAAAUUCUAACUUACAAAAAAAUAGAAGAAAUGGCACUUUUAAUAUAGUCAUAUAUAAUUAUAUAUAUAUAUAU